rnacentral:rRNA from 1 species
UGCCCCCUCCCCCGGGAUAGCCGCCCGAAAGGACGGGUAAUACCGGAUACCCCGGGGUGCCGCAUGGCACCCCGGCUAAAGCCCCGACGGGAGGGGAUGGCUCCGCGGCCCAUCAGGUAGACGGCGGGGUGACGGCCCACCGUGCCGACAACGGGUAGCCGGGUUGAGAGACCGACCGGCCAGAUUGGGACUGAGACACGGCCCAGACUCCUACGGGAGGCAGCAGUGGGGAAUCUUGCGCAAUGGGGGGAACCCUGACGCAGCGACGCCGCGUGCGGGACGGAGGCCUUCGGGUCGUAAACCGCUUUCAGCAGGGAAGAGUCAAGACUGUACCUGCAGAAGAAGCCCCGGCUAACUACGUGCCAGCAGCCGCGGUAAUACGUAGGGGGCGAGCGUUAUCCGGAUUCAUUGGGCGUAAAGCGCGCGUAGGCGGCCCGGCAGGCCGGGGGUCGAAGCGGGGGGCUCAACCCCCCGAAGCCCCCGGAACCUCCGCGGCUUGGGUCCGGUAGGGGAGGGUGGAACACCCGGUGUAGCGGUGGAAUGCGCAGAUAUCGGGUGGGACACCGGUGGCGAAGGCGGCCCUCUGGGCCGAGACCGACGCUGAGGCGCGAAAGCUGGGGGAGCGAACAGGAUUAGAUACCCUGGUAGUCCCAGCCGUAAACGAUGGACGCUAGGUGUGGGGGGACGAUCCCCCCGUGCCGCAG